rnacentral:rRNA from 1 species
UGGGGAAUAUUGCACAAUGGGCGAAAGCCUGAUGCAGCAACGCCGCGUGCGGGAUGACGGCCUUCGGGCUGUAAACCGCUUUUCAGCAGGGACGAAGGUUUUCUGACGGUACCUGCAGAAGAAGCACCGGCUAACUACGUGCCAGCAGCCGCGGUGAUACGUAGGGUGCGAGCGUUGUCCGGAAUUAUUGGGCGUAAAGAGCUUGUAGGCGGUCCGUUGCGUCGGAAGUGAAAACUCAGGGCUUAACCCUGAGCCUGCUUUCGAUACGGGCGGACUUGAGGGAUGUAGGGGAGAACGGAAUUCCUGGUGGAGCGGUGGAAUGCGCAGAUAUCAGGAGGAACACCAGUGGCGAAGGCGGUUCUCUGGACAUUUCCUGACGCUGAGAAGCGAAAGCGUGGGGAGCAAACAGGCUUAGAUACCCUGGUAGUCCACGCCGUAAACGGUGGGCACUAGGUGUGGGACCCAUUCCACGGGUUCCGUGCCGUAGCUAACGCAUUAAGGUGCCCCGCCUGGGGUAGUACGGCCGCAAGGCUAAAA